AGUAACUGCUCGUACCUUGACGGUACCUAACCAGAAAGCCACGGCUAACUACGUGCCAGCAGCCGCGGUAAUACGUAGGUGGCAAGCGUUAUCCGGGAAUUAUUGGGCGUAAAGCGCGCGCAGGCGGUUUCUUAAGUCUGAUGUGAAAGCCCACGGCUCAACCGUGGAGGGUCAUUGGAAACUGGGGAACUUGAGUGCAGAAGAGAAAAGCGGAAUUCCACGUGUAGCGGUGAAAUGCGUAGAGUGUGGAGGAACACCAGUGGCGAAGGCGGCUUUUUGGUCUGUAACUGACGCUGAGGCGCGAAAGCGUGGGGAGCAAACAGGAUUAGAUACCCUGGUAGUCCACGCCGUAAACGAUGAGUGCUAAGUGUUAGAGGGUUUCCGCCCUUUAGUGCUGCAGCUAACGCAUUA
rnacentral:rRNA from 1 species